AACGCACAUUGCGCCCCUUGGUAUUCCGAGGGGCAUGCCUAUUCGAGCGUCAUUAUCACCCCUCAAGCUUCGGCUUGGUGUUGAGGCCUGCUGUAAAGGUACCCUCUAAAAUCAGUGGCAGUGCUGUCAGGCUCUAAGCGUAGUAAUUUCAUCGCUAUAGGGUCCUGGUGGAUACUCGUCAAAACCCCCCCAUUUUUUAAUGAUUGACCUCGGAUUAGGUAGGGAUACCCGCUGAACUUAA
rnacentral:misc_RNA from 1 species